rnacentral:lncRNA from 1 species
AAAAAAAAAAAAAAGAGAUGAGAGGGGAAUGGAAUAUGACCAUUUCUCUCUUAGUGAGCCUCUCAAGUUUGCAUGAGAGUAGGUUAGAAACAGCUGUUAAAUGCAAGUUGAGGAUCAUUUGUAGAAAUUAUUCAAGGCUGUUUCUCCUUUAUCCUACAGUCACGUAUAAACUAGAAUUAUUUAGAAGGUUUCAAAAGAUUCUUGUCACUAUAUUUUGUUCUUUUCUGUACCCAGUUAUCAAGUAGACAGCCUUAUUCUUUCAGACUUAGUCUAAUGAGAGCUAAAUAAUUUCUUGAGAGAAUUUGCUUGUGCUCAAAUAUGUCCUCACUGAAGCCUUAGCCCAGUUACUCAGUGAUCUCCUUUUGUGUAAUUCAGAACUUAAUUAUGCACUGUCACGUUUGUUGGUUAAUUGUUUGAUAUACUUAAAUCCUGUCCUUUCAACUAGGUUAUGAAUUGCUCAAAAGCAGAGAUUAUGCCCAUUUUUUUCUUUUUCAGCUCCUAGCACAGAGCUAAGUACAGAGAAUAUGUACAGUAAAAGGCUGAUGGAGGUCUUUCUGGGAACACUCUAUCAGCGGUACUCUGUCCUUCCUGCUGGUGGCAAUGGGAAUGUUCUCUGCAAGGGCUCACGAGGGCUUGCAUGCCUAUGAAGUGGAAGAGAAAUGGCUUGAGGUGCAGGGAAUGAGGGGACAGGCCAGGAACUCUCGGCCUAAUUAUAAUAGCUAUUGCCUCGCUGCUUUUAUUGGACUGCUCUUAUUGGAAGGAAAUUGAUCCCAAAGAGAGUCAAAGACAGGCUAAAACACUGAACUCAUAAAAAUAUGAAAAGUAAGCGGUGAGAGCAGAUCAAGGGACCAAGAUUCGUUGUUUUGUUAUUGUUUUAUUAAUGAUGGUCUAGGACUUCCAAAUGGAGUUUUAAAAGUUGAAAAUAAAUGACCUGUUACUAAUAUAUUUUCAGAAUGCCUAUGUAGAGAGGAAGAUUAUUUCUCAGCUGAGUAACGUGGGAUCCUCCUUUAAAAGUCCUUUGGACUCUAAUCAUCUUUGUAAUACUCUGUUUUACUUUGAAGGCAGACUCAACUUCUUAGAGUUCCAGCACAUUGAGCCCUGUUUGUCUCAUCCAUCUUUUCACUGACCUUCCAAAGGUGGACUGGCUGGAGAACCCCAGCUGUCCAUUGUGUUUGAAAUCCCUUUAAGUAGGGACUCGGCUAGAGGUGUUCUUCUGCCUGAUCCCCAGAUGAAAAGGACGGGAGGGGAGUGACAGAGGAGUCUUCAGCCAGCUGCCAUAUCCCCAUGCCGGACCAUGGAACCUGACUUCCAGCGCACUGUAGCAGAGAGCCCACAUCCUUCUACAACUCCAACAACUGGUUCAGUACCAGGCGCAGAGUGAAUGUUCUCUAAAUGUGGGCAGUGUUGAUGAGUGAAGAAUCUUAAGCAGAGAAGAAACUCAUGUCCCUGACUGACUCCUGUGAGACGUUUAUCUUGCAGUGAGUUUAUUCAGCAGCCACAAAUCAAUUUGAAGGUGGAAAAUGUUUGCUUUGAAAACAAGGAAAAACCUAACCCAUCAGAAGCGUUCAUGAUUAGCAGUCUGCAAAAGUUGAUCAUACACAUUGAGUUAUCCUCGUCAUACCCAACCAAAACAGAGCCGAGAAACUAGGGGAAAGGCACUCAAGGCAUUGCUCCAGAAAUGGAAUUCUCUGCAAACCUGGCUGCUGAAACUGCCUGCUAUAACCUGAAACCUGUUUUAUCUGAUGUCUACUGUGACGACGUGCUGCAGCUCUAAGACUAGCUUUGCCCACCACUCUCACUCACCUAUCAGAGAUUGCCAGUUUCCCAAAACCUUUCUUGUGCCGAUGAACUUUCUCAAAGAGCAAUAGUAACAUUUCUCUUUUUUAUAAAACAUCUAAGCUUCUCUUUGUUCUUUGGACAUACUGAAGACUACCUGAUCUACAGGUAUGCUCCCAAUUGCAGCAGUUUUUUUCUUCUCAAAUAAAACAUUUGAAUUUCA